rnacentral:tRNA from 1 species
CGUGGGAUGGAGACAGUUGGCAGCUCGUUGGGCUCAUAACCCAAAGGUCUGCAGGUUCGAGUCCUGCUCCCGCAACCA